UGAUGUCAAUGGCGUUGCCAAGCAACAAGGAACUACUUAUGUUGCAUCAUCGGUAAUGUGGACAUGAAGGAGAAAUCUGUUUUUUUAAGCUUCAAAAGUCAUAUAUAUCUGGAUAUAUGAGUAAAAAAUACAAACACUUUCAAUAUGUGAAAAUAUAAACAAUAAAAGUUAAAUUAAGAUUUAAACUUGAGACAGUAAUAAUGACUAUGUUGUGGGACCGGGUACUGCAUAGAUUUAAGGCAACAAGCGACCAACUCCAAAGAAGCGAUAUAGAUUUAGCUACUGCUCUUGGCUUUCUGCGCUCAUGUAACAUAGUUAGAAUGGAUGGCUAAAACCCUUCUAAACUGGCUGAACUACGCCAUCUACUGCCACAAAGUGGUACACAAACGGACCGUAAAAAGGACGGAUUGUGGGUAAUCCUCAGUGUAAUGGAGGAUUAAAAGAAGGUCCACAAUUUCCUUGGUGUCCUUUAUAUUUUACAGAAGCAUCAACAAGCGCACUUGAGUGCUGGAGAUCCUGCAAGCGGCGCCUCACUCUCCCCAUCAUGUUGUAAUCACAGUUCGGAGCUCGCUGGUGUAUUUUGUGAUUCCCGCUGAAGCGUCUGAGUUGCUUGGUACCAGCAGCAGCAAGGGGAGGAGGAGGAGGAAGAGGAGGAGGAAGAGGAAAAGCCGAAGGGAAAAAGAGAAUAAUGCAACAUUGCAGCGCAGCGCGCGUGUUGUUCCUGCGCCGAUAGGGUGAUUCAAAGUGCGCGGACUGCGGGAAUAGGAGCCAUUUACAACGCGUUUGUUCUCGCGCUGUAGAAAAGGAAAAGAUCGGAAGAGCGAGCCCGGAUCAUCGACCUACAAAGACCCGAAGGCGAUCCUCCAACCUGCAGGGUGUCACCCUGAGAGCCCGAGGAACGAUGUCCUCCACGAGAUUCAAGAAGGACAAGGAGAUCAUCGCGGACUAUGAGACCCAAGUGAAAGGUGCGGUGUGGAUGUGAUGCCCGUGUCCGUUUGUCCUGCUCCUUUGUUGGGGCAUUUCUUUUGAUUCGUGUGUCAUGUGUCAGUGAUCUUUCCACAUCCAAAGCAUAGACUGCACUGACAGGCGCCCCCCCCUUCAUGGCAGGUAAACCGUGACAGUCAGUCAGAAGGGCAUCGUGGAGGAGCGAGCCUCGCUUUUAUUCUGCAAAUGUUUCCUGUAUUAAUUCAGCAGCAGCCAAAGGGAUUUUCGUGUGCUGAAUUAUUAUUUUUCACAAUGUGGUCAGCAAUGUAUUUGUAUUAUCCCUGUUGAAAUCUUUGUUUGUGUCUUAUGAUUUUAAGGUGACUUCAGCUUUACGCCACGGUCAGUAGUCCUGCAUCUUUUUUUAAUAGAGUGUAAAUCAUUAUUAAAAAAAAGGGUUAAGCUCUGUGAAGAAACAAAAUGAUAAAUAAUAACUUCCAAGUAUUUGUAUGCAACCCGAGAACGGCAGACCACCCAAAUAAACAAGCGCAAAACCCAUCAAGGGAUUCAGUUUAUUCAGCCGUGGUGUAAAAGUGACGGAGGCAACACCGUACAUACGGGCAGAGCAGCCUCCUUAUGAGCUCGGUGGAGCUGGGGUUGAGUUUCAAGGCCCUGGAGCCAUUACUGGCACUCUCCCUCUCAGUGGUUUCACUAUACGCCUCUGGGGCUUCAGCCCAUCAUCCCCCUGAGGCUUGUACAAGUCCAGACCUUUGGAUGCUCCGGGUGUGAGCUUUUGACUUUGUAGGAUCCUCAGUGUUCUUCGUGUUGAUUGUUGUGAUUCAGCUGCUAGUCUUUGCCCUUUAUCACCUUGGUUUGGUUUCUUGGCAUUUGCUGGUCAUUCAGAAAAUUGCAUGUCUUGUUUCUGCCAAUAUCUUAUUCUGCUGCUCUCGACUUUACUCCAGGCCAUUAUUUUGGUAAUUCAAAACAUCAAUUAUUCAUCUGAGAUCUCACUGAGCCGAGGGAGAAUUACUCUUGUUUCAUAGAGCUCGGCCCUGUGUGCUGCCUCUUUCCAUUAGACGUAUUGAACUGUGGGGGUACGAAGGUAAUGUUAAUUUAUGGAGAAUGCUGCUUGUUUCUCAUUCACAGCUGGCGUGUGGCAUUGCCUACAGACACGGAGAGCUCUGCUCCCGACAUCCCCAACCUCACAACAAUGGCGAUGUUAUGAAUCAAAGCGGGCGGGGAGCGAAGUGUAAUGAAAUUCAGACUGGAAAUUGCACCUGUCUUUCUCUGAGUUAUUGCUUUAUGGUCAAUGUUUACAUGGCAGAAGGGGCAGAAUCAUCAGUGAUUGCGACAUAACAACAUUGCAGGGUUUAUGUAUGAGGUCUAAUCCAUUCACAGAAGAACGCUGUCACUGCUUCGGGUUUCGCAAAUGAUAUUGUUACCUCAAACAUACUGUCUGCAAGUGACUCAUAUAGACUUUAACUCCUCUGUUGCACUCUCACAAAACCAGAAUCUUGACCCACCACCAUUGAUGAAUUCUCGAGGACCCUCAAAGCAGUGAUCUCUGAAGAACCUCGGGAGAUGGUGUUCACUUUAUUCACGCUGCUCAGCCGGUGGAUCCUGCAUUAGCAUGUCAAUAGAGGGGGUUCACACGCUGAACAGAGAGAGGCCGACAGCAGAGGUUGGACUCUGUUUUGGAGCUUACCGCCGUGUGUUUAGUGGACAGCAGCUCUCCCUCCUCCCGUUUGCCAGUUUAAUAGGCAGCUUGUGAAGUUUUGCUCAGCCACCAGCAGCUGUUUGACAUUUACGCUCCGGGUUCUGAGAGUGAUGGCUGCAGUAUAAACUUCCACAUCCGUAGGACGGGGAUGAACUGAACCAUCAGUCUCUAUUAUAUGAAACUGUGUGCUUUAAAAGUCCAUUGAUCAGAGGUUAACUCGCUGGCUUAACAGAGAAACAGAUGACGAUGGCUGAGAGACGAAGACAGAGGCAGAAAUAAUACCAUAUACGACCCCAGGAAGAAGCUUUGAAACCAAACCUGAACACUUAAGCCACACAAGUAAAAGUUGAGACCUCAUUUGUCUUCUGCAGACUUUUUAUUAAACUGUUCUUGUUUUUACAUCUUUGUUGCCGACCUGUGUUUAUAUUAUAACCUUAGUUUUCAUAUUUUGUAGACUUUAGAAGAUAAAAGUAAGUUUGUUCUUUGCAUUAACUUUUUUUUUUGCAUUAACUAACUUUUGAUGGUAGUCUUUUUCUUUCUCUAUUUAAAUAUUUUCUAAAUCAGACACAUAAUUACUUUCACUAACACAAGCAUUUGAGAGGAGGUACAGUUUUAAUGGGAUUGAAUUUACACGAGGCGAUAUUUCCCUUUACCUAUUUUUCCUUUAGGAUGGGGAAAUGCAUGCAACUGCUUUUGAAAAAUGUUAAAAAGCACAUACACAAAAAGAGGAAGGGUAUUUUCAACUGCGAGUUCAAGUUGCAAGUGUAGUUUCUGUUGAUAGUUUCUGCCAGUUCUUUCCUGCCAGACUUAAUGCAAAAAAAGUUAACCUCCCAAGGAGAUCAAAUCGUGAAAGUAAUUUGAUCAACAUACAUUUCUAACAGGACUAUAUGUCGCCGGCUCUGCAUGUGUAUUGGCACAAUUUCCACAGAAUGCAAACCAGUUUCUUUUGUGCAGUCAAAAUACACAGAAAGUGACAACAAACCGUUUUAUUUUAAAGUAUUAAUGAUAUCAUGUUAUGUUCUUUGCAGCUAUACAUGUCAAUCAGAGUAUUUAUGGAAAUUAUUUUGGUCAGAAACCACACCCCUCAUAUUAAAAUGAAAAAUACUCUGUCUCGUG
ensembl:lncRNA